AACGAACGCUGGCGGCAGGCUUAACACAUGCAAGUCGAACGCAUCGCAAGAUGAGUGGCAGACGGGUGAGUAACGCGUGGGAACAUACCCUUUUCUACGGAAUAGCUCUGGGAAACUAGAAUUAAUACCGUAUACGCCCUACGGGGGAAAGAUUUAUCGGGGAAGGAUUGGCCCGCGUUGGAUUAGCUAGUUGGUGGGGUAAAGGCCUACCAAGGCGACGAUCCAUAGCUGGUCUGAGAGGAUGAUCAGCCACAUUGGGACUGAGCCACGGCCCAAACUCCUACGGGAGGCAGCAGUGGGGAAUAUUGGACAAUGGGCGCAAGCCUGAUCCAGCCAUGCCGCGUGAGUGAUGAAGGCCUUAGGGUUGUAAAGCUCUUUCACCGAUGAAGAUAAUGACGGUAGUCGGAGAAGAAGCCCCGGCUAACUUCGUGCCAGCAGCCGCCGUAAAAC
rnacentral:rRNA from 1 species